UUGUGAAAUUAUGGUAAUUAUCUUUUGGAAUUGACUUGAAAUGUGAGAAUACUCAUUGUCAUUG